CCUACGGGAGGCAGCAGUGGGGAAUAUUGGGCAAUGGAGGAAACUCUGACCCAGCGACGCCGCGUGCGGGAUGAAGGCCUUCGGGUUGUAAACCGCUUUCAGUAGGGAAGAAGCGAAAGUGACGGUACCUACAAAAGAAGCACCGGCUAACUAUGUGCCAGCAGCCGCGGUAAUACAUAGGGUGCAAGCGUUGUCCGGAAUUAUUGGGCGUAAAGAGCUCGUAGGUCGUUUGUUACGUCGGAUGUGAAAACCUGAGGCUCAACCUCAGGCCUGCAUUCGAUACGGGCAAACUAGAGUUUGGUAGGGGAGACUGGAAUUCCUGGUGUAGCGGUGGAAUGCGCAGAUAUCAGGAGGAACACCAAUGGCGAAGGCAGGUCUCUGGGCCAAUACUGACACUGAGGAGCGAAAGUCUGGGGAGCGAACAGGGUUAGAUACCCUGGUAGUCCAGACCGUAAACGGUGGGCACUAGUUGUGGGAACCUUCCACGGUUUCUGCGACGCAGCUAACGCAUUAAGUGCCCCGCUGGGGAUACGAUCGCAAGNUUAAAACNAANGAAUGACGNGNGAGANGCGAGAGACACGAGGAGAG
rnacentral:rRNA from 1 species